AGAACGAACGCUGGCGGCAGGCCUAACACAUGCAAGUCGAACGAGAAGCCACCUUCGGGUGGUGGACAGUGGCAGACGGGUGAGUAACGCGUGGGAACGUGCCUUUCGGUUCGGGAUAACCCAGGGAAACUUGGGCUAAUACCGGAUACGCCCUUCGGGGGAAAGAUUCAUUGCCGAAAGAUCGGCCCGCGUCGGAUUAGCUAGUUGGUAGGGUAAAAGCCUACCAAGGCGACGAUCCGUAGCUGGUCUGAGAGGAUGACCAGCCACACUGGGACUGAGACACGGCCCAGACUCCUACGGGAGGCAGCAGUGGGGAAUAUUGGACAAUGGGCGCAAGCCUGAUCCAGCCAUGCCGCGUGGGCGAAGAAGGCCUUAGGGUUGUAAAACCCCUUUCAGCGGGGGAAGAUAAUGACGGUACCCGCAGAAGAAGUCCCGGCUAACUCCGUGCCAGCAGCCGC
rnacentral:rRNA from 1 species